rnacentral:rRNA from 1 species
UACGGAGGAUGCAAGCGUUGUCCGGAAUUAUUGGGCGUAAAGCGUCCGCAGGUGGUUAUACAAGUCUGCCGUUAAAGACAGUAGCUUAACUACUGAAAGGCGGUGGAAACUGUAAGACUAGAGUACGGUAGGGGUAGAGGGAAUUCCCAGUGUAGCGGUGAAAUGCGUAGAGAUUGGGAAGAACACCAGUGGCGAAAGCGCUCUACUGGGCCUGUACUGACACUAUUGGACGAAAGCUAGGGGAGCGAAAGGG